UUUCUAAAUAAAAUUUUAUGAGUGUGGGAUAGGACUUUAAGAACUUAUUUUCACAUCAACCAUCAGCAAACUUCCUAUCUGUCUCUCAUCAGAGUGGCGCAGUGGAAGUGUGUUGAACUCUAACCACACUGGUAUGAUUUCUCUCUUCAAACCAAAAGGAGGAAAUUGAUGGUGUGAUAAAUCGGUGACUUGUAUCUUAAUGUUAUACUUAAGAGUAGUCACUUGGAAUUCUUGGGAACAUGUUGGGUACCUGCGAGAACUAGAACUAAAACAUAACAAUUCGUAACAAAACUAAUGACUGAAUAUACUACUAAAAGAAUUCCUAAUCACCAUCAAUACCAUAACUCUCUGAGCCCAUUACAACCAAUUUAAUUAAAAAGAAAGUUAGGAAACUAAUGAAUUAAAUUAGAAACCUGAAACCUAAGGCUUAAUAUGGUUGUAGAUGAAACAAUACUUCUUUAACCAAACUAAUUAUUUUCAAGAAACUUUGAAUAAAAUACCAUCAAACCUAAUAUCUUAAACAAAGAAAUGCACCUACAAAUGAAAUUCCUAAAGCACGUGUU
rnacentral:lncRNA from 1 species